GUUGAUGAUCUCGUGAUGCAACA
rnacentral:siRNA from 1 species